UUAAAUCACCUCUUGAAUAUUUCAUUAACAACAAAGAGUGCGACAAACGUCUUCGUAAUUUGACAACUAAUGAAAAUACUUUAAAACAAGGCAUUGAAAAUAACUUUUGAAAACUGCAAUAUUUCUUUGCGGUUGCAAACAAUGAGCUUAAAAGCAGUAAUAUACAUUUGCCGUAAAAUAAUAAUAUUUGGAUUACAUAAAAUAAAUGGCUGUUCCAUACAAAAUUAUCAAAUACUUUUGGAAUGAUAAGAUAAUGCGAUACGAUACUGCUCAUCUGCAUGUAUGUCGCCAUCUUGAAGAAAGGAUUGAAGAUAUAUUUUUUAAAAAAAUAUUCGCUCCCACAAAAUGCAUUAUUUAGAAUUAAAAUCGGAAAAGCAUAAAAAUUAAUAUAGAAAUUAAUUCAACUCCGCCAAAUUUAAAAAAUAUUUCAACUUUAGCAGCACAACAAUAACAAAACGAUCGCAACGUGCACUUAUGAAUAACGACGUAAAGAGGAAUGGUGUAACUAAACCAGUUAGAGCGCAAAGGAUAUAGAAGCUAGCAGUCAAAGAGUUCAUGGUUUCGCUGUCACUAUAAAUCCUUUCUUCAAAUUCACAUCCAGUUAGCGCUAAGAACUCUAACAAAUACAAUAACACGAACAAUGACAAGAGCACCACCGCCAGCAGUAUAAAGUGUAGAAGAGCUCUAUGUUCUUCGAAUUUCACAUAUGUCUGGAUAAGUGAAGCCACAAGGCGCAAAAGAACGGUAUAUGACGGAGGUGUGCUUGGGUGGCGUGUGGCACUGUGAAGCGCUUUUUUUCUAUAACGUCAUAUUUUUUGCAAGGUCUGUAUGGAAUAUCUGUAUGUUGGUACAUAAGUGGCAUGCGAUCUGUUACAGCGCAGAACAACAAUAAUACGAGCUUAAGAAUAUACGAAAAUAAGAGCAGCAGCAAUGGCUUCGUGUGGGCGAACGUGAGGUCGACAGCGCUGGGCAGCUCUGAAAUGGGAAGGAGGCGAUGCUGUACCGUUAACGUCAGCGCGGCACCAUUGUGGUUGCAAGUAUUGCGUAAAUUUUAAUGGAAGUGAUAUUUUUGAUUUGCAUUUCAUGCAACCGACGCGGCAACGCUUUGCUACACGAAGCUGCAAGAGGCAGCGUGUGGAGCACUGCAGUGGUGUAGCAUGAAAUGUGGAAGUGCAGGAACAACUGUAACACAAACAAUCGAAAGCGAAAUAUAAAUGUCUGAAAAAAAAACAACGAGAGCGAAAACGGCAACAAACGACGGCACGAAGAAAGGGAAUUGUGAAUUCAACGAAGUGAAAUGGCAAUGCAAUGGCAACUGUUGAAUGCUGAAUGUUGCAAGUUGCGGCUAUAGACGGUUGUGUAUAUUCCACUGGCUUACGGUAAUUGUAUUUAUAUAUUUGUAUGUGUAUGCGGUUUGGUGCAAAUCUGUUUGCCUGUGUAUGUGAAAGCAGGUGAGUGGCUUGGCCACUUUCCGCUGUGGCUUUGCUGUUGUUGUUAUUGUAAUAUAAUGGCUUUUAUAACGUUAUAACUUUAGUUAUAUACAUAACUUUUGUUGUUGUUGAAUUUGUGUAAAUUGGUUAAGUGGAAAUGCCGUCAAACGCUCUAUGAAAAC